UACGAAGGGGGCUAGCGUUGCUCGGAAUCACUGGGCGUAAAGCGCGCGUAGGCGGAUCUGCAAGUCGGGGGUGAAAUCCCGAGGCUCAACCUCGGAACUGCCUUCGAUACUGCGGGUCUCGAGUCCGGGAGAGGUGAGUGGAAUUCCUAGUGUAGAGGUGAAAUUCGUAGAUAUUAGGAAGAACACCAGUGGCGAAGGGCGGCUCACUGGCCCGGUAC
rnacentral:rRNA from 1 species